AUUAUACUCCCUCCGUCCGGAAAUACUUGUCAUCAAAAUGGAUAAAAGGGAUGUAUCUAGAUGUAUUUUAGUUUUAGAUACAUCCCUUUUUGUCCAUUUUGAUGACAAGUAUUUUCGGACGGAGGGAGUAUAUA
rnacentral:pre_miRNA from 1 species